rnacentral:rRNA from 1 species
UACGAAGGGGGCUAGCGUUGUUCGGAAUUACUGGGCGUAAAGCGCGCGCAGGCGGCUAUCCAAGUCAGUGGUGAAAGCCCGGAGCUCAACUCCGGAACUGCCAUUGAAACUGUUUAGCUUGAGGAUGAGAGAGGUGAGUGGAAUUCCCAGUGUAGAGGUGAAGUUCGUAGAUAUUGGGAAGAACACCGGUGGCGAAGGCGGCUCACUGGCUCAUUACUGACGCUCAGGCGCGAUAGCGUGGGGAUCAAACAGG